rnacentral:rRNA from 1 species
AUUGAACGCUGGCGGCAGGCCUAACACAUGCAAGUCGAACGAGUGGCGGACGGGUGAGUAAUGUCUGGGAAACUGCCUGAUGGAGGGGGAUAACAACUGGAAACGGUAGCUAAUACAGCAUACCAUCAGAUGUGCCCAGAUGGGAUUAGCUAGUGGGUGGGGUAACGGCUCACCUAGGAGACGAUCCCUAGCUGGUCUGAGAGGAUGCACAGCCACACUGGAACUGAGACACGGUCCAGACUCCUACGGGAGGCAGCAGUGGGGAAUAUUGCACAAUGGGCGCAAGCCUGAUGCAGCCAUGCCGCGUGUAUGAAGAAGGCCUUCGGGUUGUAAAGUACUUUCAGCGGGGAGGCGUUACCCGCAGAAGAAGCACCGGCUAACUCCGUGCCAGCAGCCGCGGUAAUAC